CCUUCAGCAGGCACAUAGUGGAGCAGAUGGUGUCUCUGAUUGGGCCUAGACAACCCACCCGGCCAUCAAAACUUGGCUUCAUAUGUUCAUGUCCAAGCUGUGGAGCUACUCAUCUAUUUAUGAAUCAGUUUGUUUUAUUCUGUGAUGAUUUUAGCCUUGUUGAUGAAUUCAGCCACAAACAACAAUUAUGUUGUAUGCCUUGAUAUAACAGCACAAUUCCUGUCUGAUCUUAGUCAGCAUCAUGAGUGUUUUGUAUAAUGUAGCAUCAGACUGUGGUCUGUUAUGAUGCUCAAGUCUGUAUGAUGCUGAAUUCAGCACUUCUCCCCAGAGCUUGAAGACCAGUCAUCAUAGAACAGUCCAGUCCAACUCUGAUCCUCCUGAGUCCUGAGUCACAGGCCUGCUUUUACGGCUCUGCCUGUCCGUUUAUAAAAACACGAAGCAGGGCAGGGCACAGCUCCAACUAAGGCCACUCAUUCAACAUUAACACAAACAAAGCAAUUGUAAAAAUGCCCAUUCAGAACAAUGGCAGCCAAGCUAAUGAGUCAAAGGAUGUGUUUUAGUAGGGGGUUGUGUGUAAAUAGGGGUUAUUUAUAAAAACGUACCGUAAAACUGUUUUACAUUUACUACCUGUUGUUCCCAACGGGUCAUUUCCCCGCCUAGACUAAAUAACAACUAUUGGCUCUCUUAUACAUAUUUAACACCUCGAGGCAGACAUCGGUGUUCAAUUUGAUUAGAUUAGAUUUUUCUUAUUUUUUUGACAAAUGAAUGGAAGAAUCUGUUACUUGAUUGUACUUGCAUGUUAUUUAGUAAUUAUUGAUCAUUCUUUGCAUGUUUAGUCAUUUUUCCCAUUCGUCAUCAACUAAUGGUUUUAAAUGUUUUAUGUUUUGUUUAUUUAUAUUGAGAAUCUAAAUGUAGUCACUGUUUUUCAAUGUUUUCUGGUUUUGUUUGAUUGACCAUAAAUACCUUUUCGCCUGAGGUAAUAACAGUGGUUGUAAAGCACUUGUACUAGCAAUAAAACAAAAACUAUUUUGUAGUGAAAAUAGCUAAAACUGUAUUGUUGCGGCGUUAGGUGGAAGUAGGUCUUGAACAGCACUUUCACUGGCUGUCUGUACGUUAGACAGACACACAUCCUGCCCAACGUGUAUGCACAACCUAGCGCUAGCCUCAAACCUGAAACUAACUAUUACUGUGCACAAAAUUUUGUCACUUGUUAUUUUUAGUGAUGUAAUGUAAGCACUACAGGGGAGGGAGAGAGGGGGCACACCCCCCCAUCCACAUCGAUGGGGCUGCAGUUGAAAAGGUUGGGUCCCUCAAAUCCUCAAAAAGUUCUACAUCUGCACCUUUGAGAGUGCGGACAGCCCAGUACUUCACUGGGGCCGAGCUCCCUGCCAUCCAGAAUUUGAUUUGAUAUUAGGCGGUGUGAAUGGAAAGGCUGGAAAAUCGUUAAAGACUCCAGCCACCCAAGCCAUUAGACUGCUCUUCCUGCUUCCUUAUGGCAAGUGGUGCCGGUGUAUCAAGUCUGACACCGACAGCCUCAAUAAUAGUUUAUAUCCCCAAGCCAUUGGACUGCUAAAUAGCUAACAGAAUGGCUACACAUGCACACACAUACACACAAUCAUCAUUUACUCUGCUGCUACUCUGUUUAUCAUAUAUCCUGAUGCCGAGUCACCUUACCCGUAUACAUACAUGUAUCUACAUCUAUCACUCCAGUAUCCCUGCACAUUGUUAAUGGUAUUGGAACUGACUCUGUAUAAAGCUUCUUACUUUCUUGUGUUCUUAUUUUUAUUUCUUGUGUGUUUUUGUUCUACCUUAUGUUAUUUUUAUUUCUUGUGUGUUUUUGUUCUACCUUAUGUUAUUUUUAUUUCUUGUGUGUUUUUGUUCUACCUUAUGUUAUUUUUAUUUCUUGUGUGUUUUUGUUCUACCUUAUGUUAUUUUUAUUUCUUGUGUGUUUUUGUUCUACCUUAUGUUAUUUUUAUUUAUUGUGUGUUUUUGUUCUACCUUAUGUUAUUUUUAUUUCUUGUGUGUUUUUGUUCUACCUUAUGUUAUUUUUAUUUCUUGUGUGUUUUUGUUCUACCUUAUGUUAUUUUUAUUUCUUGUGUGUUUUUGUUCUACCUUAUGUUAUUUUUAGUGCUACAUUGAGUAUGGUUACAUGCACACAAUAAUGUAAUAAUUGUGGAUAGUCAGAUCAGUAUAAUAAUUUGAUUAAAACAUUUACAUGUUUUGCAAGAAGAGUGAUUUCCCUAAUAAUCAUUUUUACAUGGACACAUAUGAAAUGAGGCUAAUUCAUGCCGCUCUGAUAAAUUCUGAAAAUCGCCAAUCAAAACAAACGUUCUACCACAGCGUCCAUUUUGGGUGAAGCGUAUUUGAUUCUGAGUUGGGACAUAAAGGUUGUAUGUGAAAACGACUUCUAAGACACGUACAUUCAGUUGUUCCGAACUCACUUCACUCACACUAAAGAGGGAGGCUUGCUUGGCUGCUGCUAGCACAUGCCCUGAUCAAAUGUGUUUAUUUUAUUGAACUUUUAUCAAGUACACCACUGGAAUGUCGUUUUAGGUGUUUACAUGUCCUAAUCAUUGUAAAGAUUGGUCAGAAAAACAGGUGUUUUAAUCGGUGUAUGCUUACUUCGAUUCUGACCUUCCACCGAUUCAAAUAACCAUAGUAAGGCGUUUACAUGCCCAUUAUAUAAUCUACCUACUGCAGUAAUCAGUUUAAUACAGAAUUAUUACUGUGCAUGUACUCAUUUAUAUUGAUUACUGUAUUGUUGCAGUCUGCAAGAAAGGCAUUUCACUGUACUUGUGCAUGUGACAUAAAUCUUGAAACUUAAAGUAGAACAUACUGUACAGUAUUUCACAGCGGAAGACUGUCUUGCUGCCUGUGGUUUUCUCCAGCUCCAUAGUAACCUAUGUGGUGACCUGUGUGUUGUCAAAGCAGACAAUCAACAAGGUGAACAUUAUAGAAGCCGCACGUACAGUCACCCAUUAUUCACAGGAUACUGUAUAAGCCCCACAUAUUCAGCAUUGUUCUGUCAUAGAUUUGUUACUUACAUAAUUGGUUUACUGACAGUGAUACUGAAAUGGUGUGGUGAGUUUGCCACAAUAAAUAAAGCAUUGGUGAUCUCUAGGUUAGUAGUGUGGGCAUCGAUCAAUGGGAUAGGCCGGGCACCACAGGAUGAAGAAUGACUGGACUCUGGUUCUAGCUUCCUCCCAGAUCCACUGCUCCCCUCCCGCUUUCCCCCCUUCCUCCUGGCCUCCCCUGGGUCCCAACACCUUAUGUUGGGCAGCCUGGCCUGGCUAGUCCUGGCUGUCUCCAUCCGCCUGUGACAGAGUCAACCCUUCCACUCCCCACACUCUGCGUCUGGAAAGGCCAGCAGCACAGUCACUGAGUGAGACAGACCUCUCACCUCAUCACACCUCCUCAGCCACUCACAGGCUAAGACCCAGGGGAUUGUUGGGGACUGUUUUAUAGGACUACAUGCAUGGCAGGUGACAGGAAUAACAGAGUGCUAUAUAUAAUUGGUGCUCUUUGUUUCUCAGCAGUGGGCCCCCCAGGGGGCAGGCAGUGUGUUUAGCUGACUGUCCCUCCCAGCAGACCCAUGCUGAUAAGUAAUUUCCAAAAAAGAAAUGAUCUCAUCCCUUCUUU